CGGACGGGUGAGUAACGCGUGGGGAACCUGCCCUGUACAGGGGGAUAACACUUAGGAAAUAAGGUGCUAAUACCGCAUAAGCGCACAGUAUCGCAUGAUACAGUGUGAAAAACUCCGGUGGUACAGGAUGGACCCGCGUCUGAUUAGCUGGUUGGCGGGGUAACGGCCCACCCAAGGCGACGAUCAGUAGCCGGCCUGAGAGGGUGAACCGGCCACAUUGGGACUGAGACACGGCCCAAACUCCUACGGGAGGCAGCAG
rnacentral:rRNA from 1 species